ACCCCCGUGAGAAUGCCCAGUCGUCCCCAAAGCGAGGAGCCGGUAUCAGGCCCAGCCAGCGUGCCCCGCCCAAGACACCUUGCCCAGCCACACCCCCAAGGGACAACAGCAGUGACGAACAUUAAGCAAUGAGAGAAAGCUCGACCUAGUUAGAGCCAUUUAGGGCCGGUAAAACUCGUGCCAGCCACCGCGGUUAUACGAGAGGCCCAAGUUGUCAACCUCCGGCGUAAAGAGUGGUUAAUGUGAUCAUCCCGCUAAAGCCAAACACCUACCAAAUUGUACAACAUGAACGUAGACAGGAAGCCCUAACGAAAGUAGCUUUAUCCCCAUGAACCACGAAAGCCAAGGAACAAACUGGGAUUAGAUACCCCACUAUGCUUGGCCGUAAACUUAGGCAGAUCAAUUACAACAUCUGUCCGCCAGGGUACUACGAGCCCCGCUUGAAACCCAAAGGACUUGGCGGCACUUCAAACCCCCCUAGAGGAGCCUGUUCUAGAACCGAUACCCCCCGUUUAACCUCACCUUCUCUGGCCUCCAGCCUAUAUACCGCCGUCGUCAGCCCACCCUAUGAAGGCUCAACAGUGGGCAAAAUUGGCACCUCCCACCCCCAAAACGUCAGGCCGAGGUGUAGCGUAUGAGAAGGGAAGAAAUGGGCUACAAUUGUCCAUCCACUAACACGGACUGUAUGCUGAAACGCAUACACAAAGGAGGAUUUAGGAGUAAGGAGAGAAUAGAGCGCCCUCCUGAAACGGCAAUGAAGUGUGCACACACCGCCCGUCACUCUCCCCGAAUAAAUGAAAAAUAUAAAUAAAAAAGAUCCUACAAGAAGGGGAGACAAGUCGUAACAAGGUAAGUGUACCGGAAGGUGCACUUGGAA
rnacentral:ncRNA from 1 species